AACGAACGCUGGCGGCAUGCCUAACACAUGCAAGUCGAACGAGACCUUCGGGUCUAGUGGCGCACGGGUGCGUAACGCGUGGGAAUCUACCCUCAGGUUCGGAAUAACUCAGAGAAAUUUGAGCUAAUACCGGAUGAUGACGUAAGUCCAAAGAUUUAUCGCCUGAGGAUGAGCCCGCUUAGGAUUAGGUAGUUGGUGAGGUAAAGGCCCACCAAGGCGACGAUCCUUAGCUGGUCUGAGAGGAUGAUCAGCCACACUGGGACUGAGACACGGCCCAGACUCCUACGGGAGGCAGCAGUGGGGAAUAUUGGACAAUGGGCGAAAGCCUGAUCCAGCAAUGCCGCGUGAGUGAUGAAGGCCUUAGGGUUGUAAAGCUCUUUUACCCGGGAUGAUAAUGACAGUACCGGGAGAAUAAGCUCCGGCUAACUCCGUG
rnacentral:rRNA from 1 species